rnacentral:rRNA from 1 species
AACGUAGGAGACAAACGUUAUCCGGAGUUACUGGGCGUAAAGGGCGUGCAGGUGGCUUGAUAAGUUCGGCGUGAAAUUUCCCGGCUUAACCGGGGGAUGUCGUCGGAGACUGUCGAGCUAGAGGGUGAUAGAGGCGUGUGGAAUUCCGGGUGUAGUGGUGAAAUGCGUAGAGAUCCGGAGGAACACCAGUGGCGAAGGCGGCUCACUGGCCCGGUACUGACGCUGAGACGCGAAAGCGUGGGGAGCGAACGGG